rnacentral:rRNA from 1 species
ACUCAAAUGAAUUGACGGGGGCCCGCACAAGCAGCGGAGCGUGUGGUUUAAUUCGACGCAACGCGCAAAACCUUACCAGGGUUUGACAUCCUCAGGAUCUGGGUGAAAGCUCGGAGUGCCCGCAAGGGAACUGAGAGACAGGUGCUGCAUGGCUGUCGUCAGCUCGUGUCGUGAGAUGUUGGGUUAAGUCCCGCAACGAGCGCAACCCCCGUGGCUAGUUACGUGGAUGUCUAGCCAGACUGCCGGUAGCAAACCGGAGGAAGGUGGGGAUGAUGUCAAGUCAGCAUGGCCCUUACACCCUGGGCGACACACACGCUACAAUGGCCGGGACAGUGGGCUGCCAAGCGGUAACGCGGAGCCAAUCCCCCAAACCCGGUCUCAGUUCAGAUCGUGGGCUGCAACUCGCCCACGUGAAGGCGGAGUUGCUAGUAACCGCAGAUCAGCAUUGCUGCGGUGAAUAUGUUCCCGGGCCUUGUACACACCGCCCGU